GACGAACGCUGGCGGCGUGCCUAAUACAUGCAAGUAGAACGCACAGUUUAUACCGUAGCUUGCUACACCAUAGACUGUGAGUUGCGAACGGGUGAGUAACGCGUAGGUAACCUGCCUGGUAGCGGGGGAUAACUAUUGGAAACGAUAGCUAAUACCGCAUAAUAUUGAUUAUUGCAUGAUAAUUGAUUGAAAGAUGCUAUUGCAUCACUACCAGAUGGACCUGCGUUGUAUUAGCUAGUAGGUGAGGUAACGGCUCACCUAGGCGACGAUACAUAGCCGACCUGAGAGGGUGAUCGGCCACACUGGGACUGAGACACGGCCCAGACUCCUACGGGAGGCAGCAGUAGGGAAUCUUCGGCAAUGGACGAAAGUCUGACCGAGCAACGCCGCGUGAGUGAAGAAGGUUUUCGGAUCGUAAAGCUCUGUUGUAAGAGAAGAACGGGUGUGAGAGUGGGAAGUUCACACUGUGACGGUAUCUUACCAGAAAGGGACGGCUAACUACGUG
rnacentral:rRNA from 1 species